rnacentral:tRNA from 1 species
GGGCGUGUGCCCGAGUUGGCCAAAGGGGACGGGCUGUAAACCCGUUGGCGAUAGCCUUCGCAGGUUCGAAUCCUGCCGCGCCCA